CCAAGGAGUCUAGCACUGGAGCAAGUUGGGGAGCUUAACGCUCCUCUGGCAAAAUGAAAGUAAUGCUCGGCUGUCAAGAUGCUGUUCCUCGGAAUGGCCGCAUUGACCACGCUUCUCACCGGCGAUGUCCGGGAGGAGCAGACUAGCUCUUAUGCUAGGACCCGAAAGAUGGUGAACUAUUGCUGGGCAGGUCGAAGCCAGGGGAAACUCUGGUGGAGGACCGUAGCGAUUCUGACGUGCGAAUCGAUCGUCAAACCUGGCUAUAGGGGCGAAAGACUAAUCGAACCAUCUA
rnacentral:rRNA from 1 species